rnacentral:rRNA from 1 species
UACGUAGGUGGCAAGCGUUGUCCGGAUUUACUGGGCGUAAAGAGCGCGCAGGCGGUCGUUCAAGUCGCGUGUGAAAGCCCCCGGCUCAACUGGGGAGGGUCACGCGAUACUGAUCGACUCGAAGGCAGGAGAGGGUAGUGGAAUUCCCGGUGUAGUGGUGAAAUGCGUAGAUAUCGGGAGGAACACCAGUGGCGAAGGCGACUACCUGGCCUGUUUCUUGACGCUGAGACGCGAAAGCGUGGGUAGCAAACAGG